CCUACGGGAGGCUGCAGUGGGGAAUAUUGGGCAAUGGAGGAAACUCUGACCCAGCAAUGCCGCGUGAAUGAAGAAGGUCUUCGGAUUGUAAAGUUCUUUAGUCAGGGAAGAAUAAAAUGACGGUACCUGAAGAAUAAGCUCCGGCUAACUACGUGCCAGCAGCCGCGGUAAUACGUAGGGAGCAAGCGUUGUUCGGAAUGACUGGGCGUAAAGGGUGCGUAGGCGGAAGAUCAAGUCAGCGGUAAAAUUGAGAGGCUCAACCUCUUCGAGCCGUUGAAACUGGUUUUCUUGAGUGAGCGAGAAGUAUGCGGAAUGCGUGGUGUAGCGGUGAAAUGCAUAGAUAUCACGCAGAACUCCGAUUGCGAAGGCAGCAUACCGGCGCUCAACUGACGCUCAUGCACGAAAGUGUGGGUAUCGAACAGGAUUAGAUACCCCGGUAGUC
rnacentral:rRNA from 1 species